GAUGAACGCUGGCGGCGUGCCUAAUACAUGCAAGUCGAGCGAACAGACGAGGAGCUUGCUCCUCUGACGUUAGCGGCGGACGGGUGAGUAACACGUGGAUAACCUACCUAUAAGACUGGGAUAACUUCGGGAAACCGGAGCUAAUACCGGAUAAUAUAUUGAACCGCAUGGUUCAAUAGUGAAAGACGGUUUUGCUGUCACUUAUAGAUGGAUCCGCGCCGCAUUAGCUAGUUGGUAAGGUAACGGCUUACCAAGGCGACGAUGCGUAGCCGACCUGAGAGGGUGAUCGGCCACUCUGGAACUGAGACACGGUCCAGACUCCUACAGGAGGCAGCAGUAGGGAAUCUUCCGCAAUGGGCGAAAGCCUGACGGAGCAACGCCGCGUGAGUGAUGAAGGUCUUCGGAUCGUAAAACUCUGUUAUUAGGGAAGAACAAAUGUGUAAGUAACUAUGCACGUCUUGACGGUACCUAAUCAGAAAGCCACGGCUAACUACGUG
rnacentral:rRNA from 1 species